rnacentral:tRNA from 1 species
CUAAUUGGCAGAAUAUUGCACUAGAGUUAGAAUCUAAUAAUUCUCAU